rnacentral:tRNA from 1 species
CGUGGCUCAGCGGUAGAGCAUCGCCUUGCCAAGGCGAGGGUCGCGGGUUCGAGAUUAGCCAA